ACCAGUUUUUGCAGGAAGGACAUGAGAAGCAUUGCUGGAGCAAGAAAAGAAGAGCUUCCCCCAGAGGAUUUGGUUUCCUCCUUCCAUCUGUGAGAAGCUGAAUGAAGACUUGAAGCAGGACAGUUUACACUCUUCAAAGUUUUAACUCUUUUGACUAAAAAGAAUUUUUUCUUGUUGAACUGGUGAUAAUUUGCCCUCCACUUCCCCUGCUGUUAGUUAAAUCCUCUUCAUCUGUCAACAAUAGAACAGCAUAGCAAAUCACAACAUGUUUCAUGCAAUCUGCUUCUGCUGAAGAACAGCUACUGAUUUGAUGAGAAGCCAGCACUUUAAAGGGUGAACUGAAUCCCCUGUGGGUGUGAAGGCUCAGUUUCACUGAUAAAUCCAAUCAAAGCUGACCAAGCAGCCAUGCAAAUGCCUUUGUCAGACAGAGAUGCCUCAGGGAUGAAGAUGGACCAAAUAAAACCAAAUGAAGAGGAACCAAUAUUCAUGUAGCUGGAGAUUUUGGGAGGUCCUGACAUGUUGGAGGGAGGAGGGAGAGGUGAGAUCAAGUGGGGUUUCAUCAAUUCUUGCAGACAGAAUCUGUUUAAGGCAGAGGAAUCAUCUGCAGCAAUCUGCCACCCCAGUAAUUGGGCUCCUGAAAGUCUUCCAGUUAAUACAAGGUGCCAGAGUGCUUCAAACUUUGGGAAUUGAGACUCCUGGUUAAUUUAUAUUUUCUGUUUUCUGUUCCUGAGUGCUGUGGGGUCAAAGUACAUUAUUUUCACAGAAGGAGAGAGGAAAAAGUAGUAAAAUUAAUAUUCACCAUACAGAUUCCCAGUAUGUGAGAGGAGAUGAUAGAUGCUAUGCAUAUGUGUGAGAGCUGGUGUCAAGAACUUGUGAAUUUAAACUUGAGAGGGACAGGGCUUCAUUCCAGCACAUGAGUUUGUUCAGCUUUUCCCUCUUACUGAAGCAAUUGGGAGCAGACAACAAUUAGGAUUAGUAAAUCUCUCCUCUUUCAAAUUAAUAAGAAGGGAUGAGAGCAGCUUCCAGUGCCCACCUCUCAAGUUUGCACAGAAAAUUUAAAUAGUCUUGAAGCAUUGUUGAAAAAGCACAUAAAGAAAAAAUACUUUUUCUCAUUGUUUUGCUAUUUGGCUUUAAAACAGAGAGUGUUUGGUUCUGUUGGUAGCAUGGAUGAAUUAGCUAUUAAUGAUAAAGUUUGAUAUUAUUUAUGAUUGAUUUAUAAUGAAUAGAAAUAUGAAAGUGUCAGCAGCUCUCAAAAAGAGGCAAAAGGAAUUCUAGGAUUUAUAAGGAGAGAGAAAAUAAAAGCCCUGUGGUCUUGGUGUACCUGCAUCCUGAAUACUGUGCCUUGUACUGAUCCCAUCUCUGUAAAAAGGAUAUCAAAAAGAAUCUGUCAACACAACUUUUUCCUAAAGUAGAAACUAGAUAAUGCCUGUCAGGAAUGUUAUAGGCUUGGGAAAUUACAAGGGAAGAGAGAUCAUAGUUUAAUUUUCCCAAGGGUUUUUCUUCUACGUGGAUCCAUAAUUUAUAUUCCCAUUGCAGGGACUUCUCUUAGUCCCCUUAGUAACUGUGGGUUUGUUUACCAAUUACAGAAUGCAAGGCUGAACCAGUCUGAUCACAUUUGAAGUCUUCCAGGUUAUCUUCCCAAAGCAAUUUGCUCUGCUUUUCUUGUCCAGCCUCAGGAUUCCCCUUAAAAGUCUAUUUCCUCUUUAGAAUUUGUAAUCCAAUAAUUCAGUUCUGCUCUGCUGUAUGAGCAAAUCUCACCCAGGACCUUGCCUAGAAAGAGCUGAAAGGAAAAUAUAGUGUUAAAUUCAA